rnacentral:lncRNA from 1 species
GGGAAAGCGAACAAGCCCCACACCCACCCCCUACCCUGGAGAUGGUGCAGGGGGCGAGCCUCCCUGAUCCCCCUAAUCCCCGCUCACAGCGCCUGCCCAGAGCACCUUGCCUGUCCCUCAGUUCUCUGUCACCACAACUCCUUGCAUCCUCCUGACCUGCAGGGCAGACCUGCAACCUGUCAUCUGCUCUGGUGAGCACAGCGCAGUCUGGGUGGCCCCAGAAGCGAGUGUUUGCUGAUGCAUCUGAUGUGUAAAAAGCACUAGGAACCUUUUUACAGCCCCCCACCCCACCCCCCACCUUGUUUCUCCUCCUCUCAGGGUAAUUUGCCAGUUAGAUCCAACAGACUCUUCAGUGGGAUCUUGCAUUCCUUGACACACAUGUGUGUGCAGACACACACAUACACACCCCUUGGUGAAUGCCAACUCAUUGAAGUAUUUGUCAGAAAGAGCAGAGCUAGAAGGUCAGCCUACUUGGGGAAGCACAAAAACAUAUAGACAGUCUCAAACACGGGAAUGGAUUGUGCUUCUCUCAUGUGUUUAAUGAAGUGCCGGCUAUUUCUUUUCAUAAGAGUCAAAGCACACAGAACUCUUCCUGGGAACUACAGGGGUGAGUGGGACAUUACUGUUUUUUUUUUUUGUUUUUUUGUUUUUUUUUUUUUUUUGGAGACAGAGUCUAGCUCUGU